rnacentral:rRNA from 1 species
AAGCGCUUAUGACCAGACUUGCGCCCGGUGAAUCACCCAGCUCUCGCGGCUGGGGCACUUUGCCGGCUCAGGCCAGCAUCAGCUCGCUGUCGGGGACAAAAGCUUCGGGAACGUAGCUCUCUUCGGGGAGUGUUAUAGCCCGUUGCACAAUACCCUUCGGCGGGCUGAGGUACGCGCUCCGCAAGGAUGCUGGCGUAAUGGUCAUCAGCGA